GCCACUUGGGGCGAACUUUCACGGCGACGAUGUUUACGUCCAGUGAGGCUCUGGGCUGUAUCUGACGGGCUCCUAGCUCAGCUCCCACCUCUCGGGCUCCACGGAAGCGGGAGGCAUCCUACUCCGCUCCAAAAGAAUCCUUAAUGAAGAGAUCCGUCUCCAGAUCAUCUGCAUAUAACAGCAGUCCUACUUUCCUGCUCCAUAUGUGACAUGCUUAACUAUAAACUAUUAGCUAAAUGUUGAAACUGACAUAAAUUGUUGAGGAGCACUACAGCGCCACCAACACAGAUCAAUGCAAAACAAAAAAGAUCUCCUACCGUGUGCAAAAAAGAAAAAAAAAUUAGAAAAAUGCCAAAAAUUACAAAAUGUCUCCCAAAUGUACCUUUUUGGAGAAAAACACGGUAGAUCUGCAAAGAUUAUCUAAUGAAGAGCUUCAAAGAAUUAAUGUGAUGGAAUACAAGUUUAGAUCUGAUCAGCAAAUAAAAGAUCCACUAUUUAGUAACAGCCAUAACUUAAUAUAAACCCGGUUAUGUCAAUCUCCACCUUCAUCAUACCAAGGGCAGCUUUUCUGUAGUUUGUAUCCAAGUAAUCCAUCAAGAAAACCACAAUAGGCCUAUUUAAAAAGAAAAAAAGAGAGAAGAAACAAAACUAUAUCCACAGUUUGUCUGCUGAUAAUUUAGUCCUGGACAAAUUAGGUAAUACAUAAUUUUUAUAAAGAGGAUAUGCACAUAUUUGGCAUUACCAACACUGCUGGCACAAAACAAGUCCAUCUUGAAAUAGCUGAGUUCCCCUGUAGUUCACAGUAAUCAAAGUAUAAUUCAUUUCACAAAUAUUUAGCUUUCAGGAUGAUGAAAAAAAAAAAAACCCACAACUGUGGGGUUUUUUUUAGUACAUUUUAGUAAAAAAUGUACCAGCCAAGAUUAGGUGGAAUACGCAGAGAGAUCAAAGCUAAAGAAAAAGAAAAAAAUACAAAGAUUGGUUCUGUUAGAAGAAACACAAUGAAAAUCCUCUUUACCCGGUGGCUCCUUCAAAGAUGUAACGACAUAAACGUUUAAAAUCACA